GCUCCCCCCAGCAGCGCCAUCGCAAGCAGCAGCAGCAGCUACCGAUGAUCCAAUUCCAGCUCCCCGGGUUUCUAGAUUUUCCUGCUCAAACGCGAUGCUCGCGGCCUACGCCCGGAAUGGGCAUCUGGAAUCGGCGGAGACGAUGCUCUACCCCCACAUCACCGCGUCAAUCUCGCCACUGCGCUUUGGAGCGCUUGGAAGGCAUCGAAUCGAGCUGCCAUCGCUUGGCGUCAUUGAGAUGUUUUUUUGGCGCUUCUCUCAAGAACCCUAAAAUCUCAGGAGCAGGGCGUUGUGGACGAGAUGCAGAGCGAAUCGAAUCGGGUCGCGAAUCGGGCCGCUGUACGAGCGGCAGGGCUAAGGCCGGUUCGCUGCGCAGCUCCGCCAUUGUCAUCCGGCACAGAUUAAACGCGUACGUAGCAUGAGUGUUCUCAGGAAUUUCUUUGCAGAAGAAGCAAUGCUCCAUAGAAAAGGAAGGCGACGAAGAGGAAGGAUAGCGGAGCUUUGAAAGUUUGCUUUGCGGGAGAAAGCCGCUCACGACAUCCCUGGGAGUUCAUCAAAGCCACCACAGCUCCCUCCUCGAUUCUCCCAAGUUUCUUUGUGCAAUCCAACUCCCAAGCGUUGCUCCAACUCCAGAGAAAACGCGAGAGAAGCCGCAGAGGAGGAGGCUGAGGACGUAGCUCCCAAGCAGCGUGGACGCGGGGCAUUUACUCACGGAAGAGAGAGAUGGAUUCCACAGCGACCAUACGACCGCCACGGACGAUGAAACUCACGAAAAGCUCACUACGUCUUCUGACGACAUCGAUGGAAAGUCCGGUAAGUUCGUCUCUCUUUGGAUGACCAAAUUUUGGAAGUUCUUAGCAUUCUUUUGAUUGAAUCCGCGCGAGCCGUGGCGUGGUGAUUCAUGAUAGUACCACUGCCUUGGCUGUUUAUGGCAAUCCAACGAUCGGUUUGGCUAGACAAAGCAAACAUCUUCACUGACGCUAGUCAUUUUUUGCGCAGCGCGAGGGGCACUCGCAACCAUCCAUCGCCCAUCUUGAUUCAAGCGAAGUUCACGGCAGAGAGACUCAACGCAUAUGAUCGUCGUGACAGAGCACAGAACAAGGUGAGAUUCACGGUCCAGGAGACGCAAGCAGCGGUUGCUGGCCAGAGAGAAGCUGCGAGAAGAAACCUGGGGAGGCGAGUGAGCACUCACUAUGAAGUAGUCGAUCGAAGAAACUUUCGUGAAGCCUUCUCGACACGGUGGACAUGUUGAUCCUGCAAAGACCAGCAGAACGUUUGCUGGUGAUGCGAUCGUCACCGCGUGGUUGAGGUUGGUUUGUUACCACGAAAAAAGCCCCUCUUUGUCAGUGAGAAACCCAUUGUCGCCUUUGCUAAAACGCCUACUUUGCCAAGUCGACGCACUCGAGGCAUUUGCUCGUC